AUUGAACGCUGGCGGCAUGCCUUACACAUGCAAGUCGAACGGCAGCACGGGUGCUUGCACCUGGUGGCGAGUGGCGAACGGGUGAGUAAUACAUCGGAACAUGUCCUGUAGUGGGGGAUAGCCCGGCGAAAGCCGGAUUAAUACCGCAUACGAUCUACGGAUGAAAGCGGGGGACCUUCGGGCCUCGCGCUAUAGGGUUGGCCGAUGGCUGAUUAGCUAGUUGGUGGGGUAAAGGCCUACCAAGGCGACGAUCAGUAGCUGGUCUGAGAGGACGACCAGCCAAACUGGGACUGAGAAAAGGCCCAGACCUCCAAGGGAGGCAGCAGUGGGGAAUUUUGGACAAUGGGCGAAAGCCUGAUCCAGCAAUGCCGCGUGUGUGAAGAAGGCCUUCGGGUUGUAAAGCACUUUUGUCCGGAAAGAAAUCCUUGGCCCUAAUACGGUCGGGGGAUGACGGUACCGGAAGAAUAAGCACCGGCUAACUACGUG
rnacentral:rRNA from 1 species